AACUGUGAAGCACCAAGGAGAGCUUUGUUGCAGAAGAAACAACGCAGACAUAUAAUGCAACAAGACAUGAACAUUGACGGGAACAGCCCAUGGCUUCGAUGUUAGUUGCAGAUGCACAGAGAUAGUGCUGAGGCCACCUCAGAGGGUCCUGCCAUUUCUGCUCAUUCGCUGCCAGUGGUACGUCCAAGACACAAGGAGCUGUAAAGAGCACAGGAAUAAAGAGCAGGAAUGGAUGCCAAGAGGAAGGAAAGUAGGCGGCACAGAAGAUGGGAAACAAAGCAAAAAACGUCUGGGCAACAUGUGAGCUUGGCACAGCUGUUUGUCUUUGCUGUCUGGCACUUUCAGCAAGAAGUAAACUGUAUAAUAAAGUAAAUUUUGUUGAGACA
ensembl:lncRNA